CAGGGCCUACGGGGCGCAGCAGUGAGGAAUAUUGGUCAAUGGACGCAAGUCUGAACCAGCCAAGUAGCGUGCAGGAUGACGGCCCUCCGGGUUGUAACCUGCUUUUAGUUGGGAAUAAAAGGGGGCUCGUGAGCCCCGUAUUGUAUGUACCAUCAGAAAAAGGACCGGCUAAUUCCGUGCCAGCAGCCGCGGUAAUACGGAAGGUCCGGGCGUUAUCCGGCUUUAUUGGGUUUAAAGGGAGUGUAGGCCGGCUUUUAAGUCAGCUGUGAAAGUCCGCGGCUCAACCGUGGAAUUGCAGUUGAAAA
rnacentral:rRNA from 1 species